rnacentral:tRNA from 1 species
UGGGGCUCAGUGGUAGAGCACUCGCCUGGCAUGUGUGUGAGAGGCCCUGGGUUCGAUCCUCAGCA